UAGUAUAGAAAUACUACUGUAAGGAGCAGUCAUAGAAUGGCGUACCUCUUGUAUAAUGGGUCAGUGAGUUAUGUUAUAUAGCGAAGUGUAAGCUGUAUAUAGUAGAAAAAUAAUCAUAAUUUUUUUAUAAAAUGAUAAGUUAUAUAGCAUAGACCCGAAAGCUCAGGAUCUAAAUAUGACCAAAUUUAUAAAUUUUAAAUUUAUAAGAUUCAACUGCUGUAUGUAGCAAUAUACUCAGAAGAGUUGUAUUUAGUAGUGAAAGUCUAAUCUAAUGAGCAGAUAGCUGGUUUUCUAUGAAAUAUAUUUUAGUAUAGCAUACAGUAUCUACUAGACUAGAUAAAUCACUAGUAAUUAAUAGGGAGUAUUUUUCUUAUCUAUUAUUACUAAUAUCAGAACUAGAUCUAGUAUUAUACUAUAUAGUCAGUCUUAUAGCGAGAAGGUUGUAAGACGAAAAGGAAACAACCUAGACUGCUAUGUGUAAGUCCCAAAAUGAAUACUAAGUGGACCUAAUCUUAAAGCUAUUCUACAGUUCACUUAUUCAAUAUUUUUAAAGAAAUAAGUCUACUAUAUGUAGUUGUAUUUUUAAUAUAAUUAUAUGAAAGUAAUAUCUACUAUAUGUAUUAGUGUUUUUAAUAUUAAUAUUUAUAAUAAAUAUCUGCUACGUGGAUUGAAAGAAUUUUAAAUAUUUUAGAAUAUAACUAAUAGAUUUUAUCUACUAGGAGCAGUAGAAUGUUUAGCUAUUUUAUUAAAUUAAUAAAAGUAAGAUUCAGCUAGUAGAACAGUAAAUAUGAUAGUAAUUAUCUGAUAAUGAAUGUGUAACAACUUAUCUACUAAGUAAUCUUUAUUAAGAAAAAAUAUAAGGGCCUAAGUAUACUACUGAACAGCAGAUUUUUAUAAAAAAUAGUAAUAGAAUAUACUACACUACUAGUAGUAAAGAAUAUGCUGACUUGAGUAACGAUAGAGAAGUAUAGCUUCUCCUCUAUAGUAUAAGGUUUAACUAUAAAUUAACGGUCUCUAAUACUACAUAUAGCUAUAUAUAGUAGAUGAGUAAUAUAACUAGAAAUUAUAUGCUACCGUACUGUAGACCGACACUGGUGUACUACAUUUAGCUUAGAACUUUUAUAGUUUUUUGUAAAAAUGGUAAUAGAGAAUAGCAUAAACUUACUUAAUGAACUCGGCAAUGAGAAAAACUUCUUAUAUAUGGUGCGACUGUUUAACAAAAACACAGUCUACUGCUAGCUAGCAUUAGUCAGUAUAGUAGAUGAUAUCUGCCCAGUGUGAGUUAUAUAAUAGCAUAAAUAAUUCAUAAACGGCGGUCUUAUCAUGAGGAUCCUAAGGUAGCGAAAUUCAUUGACGCAUAAUUAGCGUCCUGCAUGAAUGAUUAUACGAUGUCAUAAAUGUAUCAAGUAAGUAGUUAGUGAAAUAGUAAUUGCAGUGAAGAUACUGUAUAUAGCAAUAGGUUGACGAGAAGACCCUAUGCAGCUUUACUAUAGGAUUGCAUUGUUUUAAUUUUUAAUCUUGAGUAAAGUAGUAAUACACACUAGCAUAUAAAAAUGUAAAACUAAUCUAAAUAAAUUAAUAUUUUUGUAAAUAUUAACUGCUAGAUACAGUGCAAUUUUGGUAGUUUCGAUGGGGCGUCGACAUCACAAAAAAUAACUGAUGUGUCUAUCUGAUCUAGUAUAUACAGUUGUAUUUUAUACAAAUAAUAAAUUGAACAGAUACAGCUACGCUAGAUUGUAACUAGUUGUGAAAUUAUUAUAAAAUUUUUCUUAUAGGUUUCAUUAUGAUAAUUGGAUAAUAAUAUAACUGUGUCAUGAUAGAUGUUCUUACUAGAAUAUCUAGUACGUAAGUAUAGUAUAAUGAACAGACAAGCUACAUAUAGCUAUGAUUGUCGAUAACGGAUCAAAGUUACGCUAGGGAUGACAUUUGUCCUACUGUGUAGUGAUAUACAGAA
rfam:Candida maltosa Xu316 contig5492_C16922, whole genome shotgun sequence.